CGGAUCGUAAAGCUCUGUUGUUAGGGAAGAACAAGUACCGUUCGAAUAGGGCGGUACCUUGACGGUACCUAACCAGAAAGCCACGGCUAACUACGUGCCAGCAGCCGCGGUAAUACGUAGGUGGCAAGCGUUGUCCGGAAUUAUUGGGCGUAAAGGGCUCGCAGGCGGUUUCUUAAGUCUGAUGUGAAAGCCCCCGGCUCAACCGGGGAGGGUCAUUGGAAACUGGGGAACUUGAGUGCAGAAGAGGAGAGUGGAAUUCCACGUGUAGCGGUGAAAUGCGUAGAGAUGUGGAGGAACACCAGUGGCGAAGGCGACUCUCUGGUCUGUAACUGACGCUGAGGAGCGAAAGCGUGGGGAGCGAACAGGAUUAGAUACCCUGGUAGUCCACGCCGUAAACGAUGAGUGCUAAGUGUUAGGGGGUUUCCGCCCCUUAGUGCUGCAGCUAACGCAUUAAGCACUCCGCCUGGGGAGUACGGUCGCAAGACUGAAACUCAAAGGAAUUGACGGGGGCCCGCACAAGC
rnacentral:rRNA from 1 species